rnacentral:lncRNA from 1 species
CUACGACUAAUUACAGUAAAUAAGACUAACAGAGAAAAUAAACUAUCUGCUAACUAGCUGCAGUAAAUAAAAUAAAAUAAGAGUAGAGCAAACCAAAAAUAAAAGGAUUACUAACAGAAAGAAAUAAAACUUAACUAAGAAAAAUGCAAUAAAUAAAAUAGGAACAAAGUGGAAUAGAUAGAACUGAACUAAACGAAACAAAGUGGAAUGUACAGAUCAGAACAAAGAGAAAUAGAUAGAACUAAAUUAGUUUAACUAAGAGUAGAUAAAUAAAAUAAAACUACUUAAUAUAAAACUAAUAAAAUAAAAUAAAGUAUAAUACUUAAACAACA